UUCCAUGAAAAAAAAUUGUAUCAAACACCUAAAGUUGAAAAAUUCAAUUCCAAUUCCAUUUCCAUCCUAUCAAACACACCUUAGUGUUUUCAUCCCUUCCAAAAUUAUCAUCUUCUACCUCAAACGAAUGGGUGGGUCUUACCAUGUGAAAGAUUUGCAACUUCCAUCAGUAACCACAUAGACCUCUCAUCUGUUUUCAAAUAUCUCUGAAACAUCAAUUCCAAACUUAAAUUUCUCCGUCCAACGGAAACAAUGGUGAAACAAGACUAACAUGAUUGCAACUGGGAGAGACCCACCAUACACUAUGUUCCCUUAAUACCCAGUAAGGGAUAUUGGAGCAAUCUAGGUUUCUCUGACUUUGCUGCGCUGGCCCCUAUUGCCACAGAUCAUUAUUUUUUAGUAGGAAAUGCUCUUACAAAAUCAUUUUCGUCUUCCUUCUGUUAGUUUAUACUACGAACCAACUUGUCCACAAAAUCCUUCUGCAAGUACAUUUCGUGCUUUCUCUAUUGUAUUUCACUUUCACCUGCAAGAACCGAUAAUCCACUUCUGGUAAUAUUGCAUAGAGAUCUAAGAAACUCUCAUUCUUUUUCUUAAUUUUUUGGUUCCUGUUUUUGCUCUUUUAUAUAAAUUCCAUAAUUUGCAAACCUAAACGUGAAUAGUGCAGUCAUUGUGAAAAUUAUGUGAUGGGCCAGUCCCCGUUUUAUCACACACUUCCUGUG
rnacentral:lncRNA from 1 species